CAACAUACGCACAUUCACACACAUGUUCACUUAACCACACACAAAUACAUUGCCACAAACUCACGCCAGAUUCACACAGCACACACAUGCUCACGUAAAUAGUUAUCGUCAGCAUCAAAAUGGCCCUGCUUCCCACCUGGGAAAUCUCACCUCCUCACAUCCCCGGCCCGCACCCUGACCUUGUGUAGGCUCCUCAGCCCCGGACGCCCCACACCUCCCCUCCGCCCACUUCCUUGCUCAGGUCCUGCGGCUACAGCCUCCUCGCUGUCCCCAAACACACCAGGGAUCCUCCCCUCCUGGGCUCAGGGCCCCCUCACUUGCUCUUCCUCAUGCCUGUUCCAGGCUCUCCCCCCGUGUCCCCGUGAGGUCACUCCCCUCCCAGCCUCUGCUGAAACCACCUUGAGAGAACAGCCAGUCUGACACCCUCAGGAAAGGAGUUGUCCUCAGACCCGGUCUCUCUGUCUCCCUAGCCGGCUUUAUUUUUCAUGAUAGCAUUUUCCACCCUCAGACGUGCGUAAGUUCUAUGAGUGCAUGUGUGUCAUGGGUUCCCUGUAUCCGUCUCCUCCUCCUCAAAUGGAAAGGUAAAGACGUCACUCAUUGCCCCCUUCAUCUCCCUAGUGUCCAGAACAAUGUUUGACAUAUUAACAAGCAUUCUAGAAAUAAAUGUCAGGUUAACAGGUAAAUAAAGGAUGAAUAUGUUGGGCUGACAAGGAUGUCACUCCCUCUCAGAGCUGCCUCUCAUGUGCUCCCCAACGUCGCAGCUCCAAGGCGGACCGGGCCUCUCCCACCCGGAGGGACUCUGAGAGCCGCCUCCUCCUCCUCCGCUCACGCAAACCACGCUCAGCCUCCCUCAGCCUGCCCAGCGUCCACCCGCCGUCCCUCUCUGCUCCAGGAUGUCCUGCUAUCUGGACACACUUCCCCCAACACGCUUCUCCCAGCUUCCCUCUGUGGCAAACCUUUUUCCCACCCUUGGUCAGUCUCAUCAACUCUAAUUGUUUGGAUACCGGAUUCUAAUCGUGCAAAACAGAGACGGGUUGAAAAUAACCCCAAUGUUCCAAAAACACCACCACCACCCCACAUGCAUCGAGCACCUGGGAAGACACUCGCUCCAGAGUGUGAGGCCACUGAGUACACAGGACAGCACGGAGCUCGCCCUGCUGGCGAUGGCAGUCACACCUGCACCAGGAGACAGCGCCCUGGUCGGAAGAGGACACGACGCAGAUUCGUCGUCCUUUCUUACCAAGCAAGCGCAGAGACUUGCCUUAUAAAACAAGGGCUGCAACACAGAAAUUAAGGAGAGGAGUGAAAGAUGAAAGUGAAACUGAACAGAAGACAAGGAUAGAAAAUACAUAGGCAAUUCCCAGGAGAACUGCAGAUGGUGUACGACAAGAUGCUGAACAUAACCUUAGGAAGGAAACUAUCAGGAGAUGGCAACACACUGUGAGUCCAGCACAACUAGGAAUUGAAACCAUGUUCAAGAGUCACCCCAGAGCUGUUCUGAUGGGGCACCUGCAGCCAGCAGCAAGGGCUCUGCUGCCGUCACCUGUAGACUCACUCUGAGAGGGGACAUUCCGUGGACUCCCGCCUACAACGUCCAGAAGACGGGGCUGUGGGUGACACUCCUCUCACCCCCUGUUAGCCUCUGAAGUCCUGAUGUCUGGCCCCGCUGACAAUCCCUACUCCUCUGGUCAGGCCUUGACUGGGGUUCAUUCAGUCUGGGCGUAAGCAGAAUUGAUAACCAGAAGGACAGUGAGACACAGUGGAGCAAGAGAAACCCUUCUCAAUUAGAGGACAGUGACGGGCACCUGCUACCUUCAUCGUAGCCUGUGGAUCUCCGUCUUGCCUGCACUGCCAAGCCUGCUUCUUUAGACACGCUGCACUCUCUCCAGCAACCCGCCGCAACCACGCGCGUGCUCCUUUGGGUGGACGGUUCACUGGGGGUUCAGCGUGCGGGCUGGACCUACUUCCUGGUCCACCACUUACUGACCUCUGAUGAGUGACUCAACUUCAUCUUAGUUUGCUCAACCGUGAAAUGAGGGUGAUGAUCACAGGGGAUUGAAUGACUUUCCAGAGUUACUGUAUGCAAAACCCUUGGAACAGUGUCCAGAACUGGUAAACACCCUGUGAAUGUUCCCUGUGCUAAUGUCUGGUACGAGACUCUGCCUAUGUGGGAAAGCACAGAACACAGAGAUGCGGCCCUUAAUCAGGGGAAACCACAGGCAAGCUGUCCCACCGCUAAAGGACCUGUCCACUCACACAGCAGCUUUUGGCUGCAGCCCCAUGUGCUGCCCCACCGCCCCGCGCUGCACCACCGCUCCGCGCUGCACAGAGAAGGGCCACAAAUGGAGAGAAAAUCUCGAGUCGGUUGAAACUGCAGGACCAUGAACGCUCGGACCUAAGAUAUGCCGCUAGGUGAGGCUGGGACAUCCAAGGCCCGAGUGACAUCCCUGCAUCUGUAUACGAGCCUGGGAGAUGUGCCACUCAACUGUCAUCUGACAAUAAUGUACUCAUGAAAAAUCAUAUUCUUUGAAGGAAGGUUAAUUAAUCUGACAAGUGUGAGAUUAUAACAAAUGACCCCGAGGGAAAGAAUCAGUCGUAGCGUGGGGCCAGCCCCGCAUGGACGUCCCACAGCAGCCCACGGCUCCUUCUGCACAUGCCACCUUAGGGCGCAGGAGCCUAACGACUCCUCCAGGCCAGUUGUCCCUGUUUUCUCUCAUAAAUCCCUGAGAAAGUCCUAGAUCAUUCUUCAACACAUGUGUUCUUAACCCCACUUCACAGGCUCGAACACCUGCAGCAAUGUGGGGCUCACUCUCUCCAAGUGCAGCCCAUCCUUGGCCCCUAACAGCUGCCACAGCAGAGGCGAGACCCUGCUGCAGACCCUUCGCAAGUCCCAGGCAAUGGCCCCAAGGCUGGGUGGUGACUGCCUUCUCCCUCCCUGUCCACUUCCAUCCAUCAGCAAGUCCUGGCAUCUCUCCCCUAAGGUCCAUCCCAAACCCACCAUCCUCUGCCUCUUUGCCACUGGCACCCUACCCGAGCCACACUCACCUUUCCCUUGGACUGGGGCAUGGACGCCCAGGCGACCCUAGGGGUUGGGACAGAUGCUGACAUGUGAUGCCUCAGGCGAAACCACAGCAGCCCUGAUGUCUUCGUCUCUGGCAGCCGAGCUCGGCUCAGCUGCUCCCAGAUGACAUGAUGCAAGCUGCACCUUCGGCUCCACUCAGCUCGGCCGCCCUCUGCCUAGGCACCCUGCUGAGAAAGGAGCUUUAACUCCGCCAAACCACCAUCCGUGUCUUAGAAUCGUAUGAUUUAUAUUCCUUUAACACACAGAAGAGUAUACACACACACGUUUACUUGUUAAUGUAUUGAUUUUUAUAGAUUCAAAGUAAAUAUAUUUUUAAUUUAUAGAUCUAUAGAUUAAUACACAUAUAGAUGAUUUUUAAUUUAUUGGCCUUGCCAGAUAACCCUCUCCCACCUCGCCUUCCCCUCCCCUUGGUCCUGAGCCCUGCAGGCCCCAAACCGUGGCCAUGCCGUUAGAUGCAGGCUGGCUGCUGCC